GCAUCACGUUCAAACACUGGUUGCCAUAUGACCACCAAAGUUAAGCAACGUUGAGCCUGGUCAGUACGUAGAUGGGUACCCACUUGGGAUACCAAGUGCUGUAA